CCGGUGAUUUCAACAUCAUUAAAGAAUAGAUGGCUCCGUCUUCCUAUUGUCACAGGUCACACUGUCCAAUUAGGUGUUUUGGCGUUUCCCUGGUAACUCCUAUCAGUCUCUGGCCAGCACCUGUUGAGAUGACCUUGGUUCCCAUGGGACAAUGGGUGGGUAAACCAUGG